rnacentral:rRNA from 1 species
GUGAGGAAUCUUCCACAAUGGGCGAAAGCCUGAUGGAGCAACGCCGCGUGAAGGAUGAAGGUCUUCGGAUUGUAAACUUCUUUUAUGAGUGAAGAAUAUGACGGUAACUCAUGAAUAAGCACCGGCUAACUACGUGCCAGCAGCCGCGGUCAUACGUAGGGUGCAAGCAUUAUCCGGAGUGACUGGGCGUAAAGAGUUGCGUAGGCGGUUAUGUAAGCGAAUAGUGAAACCUGGUGGCUCAACCACACAGACUAUUAUUCGAACUGCAUAACUCGAGAAUGGUAGAGGUAACUGGAAUUUCUUGUGUAGGAGUGAAAUCCGUAGAUAUAAGAAGGAACACCAAUGGCGUAGGCAGGUUACUGGGCCAUUUCUGACGCUAAGGCACGAAAGCGUGGGGAGCGAACCGGAUUAGAAACCCCUGUAGUCC